rnacentral:rRNA from 1 species
AUUGAACGCUGGCGGCAUGCUUUACACAUGCAAGUCGAACGGCAGCGCGGGCUUCGGCCUGGCGGCGAGUGGCGAACGGGUGAGUAAUGCAUCGGAACGUGCCCAGUAGUGGGGGAUAGCCCGGCGAAAGCCGGAUUAAUACCGCAUACGACCUGAGGGUGAAAGCGGGGGACCGAAAGGCCUCGCGCUAUUGGAGCGGCCGAUGUCGGAUUAGCUAGUUGGUGGGGUAAAGGCUUACCAAGGCGACGAUCCGUAGCUGGUCUGAGAGGACGACCAGCCACACCGGGACUGAGACACGGCCCAGACUCCUACGGGAGGCAGCAGUGGGGAAUUUUGGACAAUGGGGGCAACCCUGAUCCAGCCAUGCCGCGUGCGGGAAGAAGGCCUUCGGGUUGUAAACCGCUUUUGUUCGGGAAGAAAUCCUCUGGGCUAAUACCCCGGGGGGAUGACGGUACCGGAAGAAUAAGCACCGGCUAACUACGUG